CUUACACAAUUCACAGCACUCACCAUAGCACAUACCCUCCCCAGUGUCCAUCACCCAACUACCCCAUCCCUCCCACCACCCCCACCACUCCAGCAACCCUCAGUUUGUUUCCUGUUAAAGCAUGAUGAGAUUUAUAACUUCGAGGAACAGAGAAACAAUAAAUGAAGACAUGAAUGGGCCAAGAGUUGUCACCUUAUCCAUUCAGCGCCUAGAUGCCAACUGCACGUUUUUGGUCUCUUUCUCUCCAGCUGUCAUGUGCUUCCAUGGUACCCAACUGCUUGUGGUGCAGUUCCUGGAAGGAGCCACACUUUUUCAGAAUAAACAUCCAGUUUUCUGCUGACACGGGAGAAGAGACAGACCAACCGCAUGGAGUUGGGGUGAGACUCUGGCUCUCUCAAUGCUUCUUAAAUAGACUUUAACCAAUUCUCCUGUUUUUAAGUCCAACCUUUAUAUCCUCUAACUGAGGUACCCGGUUGCAGUCCAUUUUACAUAUAAUUACAUACAAUAAAAUCUAGUUGCAUCUUGGCUUUCUUUACUUUUGGUUUAGGGUUAUACUUU